rnacentral:rRNA from 1 species
UAAGGAAUAUUGGUCAAUGGACGCAAGUCUGAACCAGCCAUGCCGCGUGAAGGAUGAAGGUCCUCUGGAUUGUAAACUUCUUUUAUCUGGGGCGAAAAAAGCCCAUUCUUGGGCACUUGACAGUACUAGAUGAAUAAGCACCGGCUAACUCCGUGCCAGCAGCCGCGGUAAUACGGAGGGUGCAAGCGUUAUCCGGAUUCACUGGGUUUAAAGGGUGCGUAGGUGGGCAAGUAAGUCAGUGGUGAAAUCCCUGAGCUUAACUCGGGAACUGCCAUUGAUACUAUUUGUCUUGAAUACCGUGGAGGUGAGCGGAAUAUGUCAUGUAGCGGUGAAAUGCUUAGAUAUGACAUAGAACACCAAUUGCGAAGGCAGCUCACUACUCGAAUAUUGACACUGAGGCACGAAAGCGUGGGGAUCAAACA